GAUUAACGCUAGCGGCAGGCCUAAUACAUGCAAGUCGAGGGGCAGCGGGAGUAGCAAUACUUGCCGGCGACCGGCGCACGGGUGCGUAACACGUAUGCAACUUUCCUUUAACUGGAGAAUAGCCCCGAGAAAUCGGGAUUAAUACUCUAUAACAUAGUGAUGAGGCAUCUCAUUAUUAUUAAAACUACGGUGGUUAAAGAUGGGCAUGCGCAACAUUAGCUAGUUGGUGAGGUAACGGCUCACCAAGGCUACGAUGUUUAGGGGACCUGAGAGGGUU
rnacentral:rRNA from 1 species